rnacentral:rRNA from 1 species
CGACGGUACCUGACUAAGAAGCCCCGGCUAACUACGUGCCAGCAGCCGCGGUAAUACGUAGGGGGCAAGCGUUAUCCGGAUUUACUGGGUGUAAAGGGAGCGCAGACGGCAUCACAAGUCAGAAGUGAAACUCCGGGGCUCAACCCCGGAACUGCUUUUGAAACUGUGGAGCUAGAGUGCAGGAGAGGUAAGCGGAAUUCCUAGUGUAGCGGUGAAAUGCGUAGAUAUUAGGAGGAACACCAGUGGCGAAGGCGGCUUACUGGACUGUAACUGACGUUCAGGCUCGAAAGCGUGGGGAGCAAACAGGAUUAGAUACCCUG